GUGCUCGCUUCAGCAGCACAUAUACUAAAAUUGGAACGAUACAGAGAAGAUUAGCACGGCCUCUGCGCAAGGAUGACAUGCAAAUUCGUGAAGCGUUCCAUAAAAAA
rnacentral:snRNA from 1 species